UACGUAGGUGGCAAGCGUUGUCCGGAUUUAUUGGGUUUAAAGGGUGCGUAGGCGGCUUUGUAAGUCAGUGGUGAAAUAUGGCAGCUCAACUGUCAGGUGCCAUUGAUACUGCGGAGCUUGAGUACAGAUGAGGUAGGCGGAAUUGACGGUGUAGCGGUGAAAUGCAUAGAUAUCGUCAAGAACACCGAUAGCGAAGGCAGCUUACUGGCUGUAACUGACGCUGAGUGCACGAAAAGUGUGGGGAUCAAACAGG
rnacentral:rRNA from 1 species